CACAGCACCCUGAACACACCAGUCUCCCCUGAUCUCAGAAGCCAAGCAGAGUCAGGCCUCCUUAGUAUUUCGAUGGGAGAACUGAAUAGAGGAUGAAGAUGUGCUGUGC
rnacentral:rRNA from 1 species